AGUGAACGCUGGCGGUAGGCCUAACACAUGCAAGUCGAACGGCAGCACAGUAAGAGCUUGCUCUUACGGGUGGCGAGUGGCGGACGGGUGAGGAAUACAUCGGAAUCUACUUUUUCGUGGGGGAUAACGUAGGGAAACUUACGCUAAUACCGCAUACGACCUACGGGUGAAAGCAGGGGAUCUUCGGACCUUGCGCGAUUGAAUGAGCCGAUGUCGGAUUAGCUAGUUGGCGGGGUAAAGGCCCACCAAGGCGACGAUCCGUAGCUGGUCUGAGAGGAUGAUCAGGCAAACUUGAACUUGGACAACGUCCAGACUCCUUAGGGAGGCAGCAGUGGGGAAUAUUUGACAAUGGGCGGAAGCCUGAUCCAGGCAUACCGCGUGGGUGGAGAAGGCCUUCGGGUUGUAAAGCCCUUUUGUUGGGAAAGAAAAGCAGCCAGUUAAUUCCCCGCUGUUCUGACGGUACCCAAAGGAUAAGGAACGGCCAACUUCGUU
rnacentral:rRNA from 1 species